GAUGAAGAACGUAGCGAAAUGCGAAAAGUAAUGUGAAUUGCAGAAUUCAGUGAACCAUCGAAUCUUUGAACGCACAUUGCGCCCGCUGGAACUCCGGUGGGCACGCCUGUCCGAGCGUCAUUUCAACCCUCAGGCCCCCCUUCGCGGGCGGGCCUGGUGUUGGGGCCCGGCCGCUACCCUGCGGCCGUCCCCUAAAUUCAGUGGCGGCCUCGCCGUGAUCCCUUGCGUAGUAAUGCACCUCGCACCGGAGAGCGCCGUGGCCACGCCGUAAAACCCCCAAUUUUCAAUGGUUGACCUCGGAUCAGGUGGGAAUACCCGCUGAACUUAAGCAUAUCAAUAAGCGGAGGA
rnacentral:misc_RNA from 1 species